UAGGGAAUCUUCCACAAUGGACGCAAGUCUGAUAGAGCAACGCCGCGUGAGUGAAGAAGGUUUUCGGACCGUAAAGCUCUGUUGUUGGUGAAGAAGGAUAGAGGUAGUAACUGGCCUUUAUUUGACGGUAAUCAACCAGAAAGUCACGGCUAACUACGUGCCAGCAGCCGCGGUAAUACGUAGGUGGCAAGCGUUGUCCGGAUUUAUUGGGCGUAAAGCGAGCGCAGGCGGAAGAAUAAGUCUGAUGUGAAAGCCCUCGGCUUAACCGAGGAAUUGCAUCGGAAACUGUUUUCUUGAGUGCAGAAGAGGAGAGUAGAACUCCAUGUGUAGCGGUGGAAUGCGUAGAUAUAUGGAAGAAUACCAGUGCGAAGGCGGCUCUCUGGUCUGCAACUGACGCUGAGGCUCGAAAGCAUGGGUAGCGAACAGGAUUAGAUACCCUGGUAGUCCAUGCCGU
rnacentral:rRNA from 1 species